rnacentral:rRNA from 1 species
UGCAAGUCGAACGCGAAAGAGGGGGAAACCCCUCGAGUAGAGUGGCGAACGGGUGAGUAACGCGUGAAGAACCUGCCCUCAGCAGGGGGAUAACACUCCUAACGGGGUGCUAAUACCGCAUGAGACCACGAGUUCAUAUGAACUUGAGGUCAAAGGUGGCCUCUGCUUGCAAGCUACCGGCUGAGGAUGGCUUCGCGUCCCAUUAGCUAGUUGGCGGUGUAACGGACCACCAAGGCGACGAUGGGUAGCUGGUCUGAGAGGAUGGUCAGCCACACUGGGACUGAGAUACGGCCCAGACUCCUACGGGAGGCAGCAGUCGAGAGGCUUUGGCAAUGGGGGAAACCCUGACCAAGCGACGCCGCGUGGAGGAUGAAGGCCUUUGGGUUGUAAACUCCUUUUGUCGGGGAAGAAAUGCGAUCAGGUGAAUAAUCUGGUCGUUUGACGGUACCCGGCGAAUAAGCUCCGGCUAACUCCGUGCCAGCAGCCGCGGUAACACGGGGGGAGCAAGCGUUGUUCGGAAUCACUGGGCGUAAAGGGCGUGUAGGCGGUCAAGUAAGUGGGGUGUGAAAUCCCUCGGCUCACCCGAGGACCUGCAUUCCAUACUGCUUGGCUUGAGUACGGGAGAGGAUGAGGGAAUUCCUGGUGUAGCGGUGAAAUGCGUAGAUAUCAGGAGGAACACCGGUGGCGAAGGCGCUCAUCUGGCCCGAUACUGACGCUGAGGCGCGAAAGCUAGGGGAGCAAACGGGAUUAGAUACCCCGGUAGUCCUAGCCGUAAACGGUGAUCACUAGGUGUUGGAGGCAUCGACCCCUCCAGUGCCGCAGCUAACGCAUUAAGUGAUCCGCCUGGGGAGUACGGCCGCAAGGUUGGAACUCAAAGGAAUUGACGGGGGCCCGCACAAGCGGUGGAGCAUGUGGUUUAAUUCGACGCAACGCGAAGAACC